GAGUUAAAUAUAGGUGCCCCAACAGAACCAUCAGUUGAUUCACGCAUUAUAGCACUUCAGAUUAAGAUCACCAAAAUCAAGGACAACACCAGAACCAAGGCUAAAAGAGAAAUAGAGUCCACAACAAAGCAGUGAUUCAUCAAAGUCAAGAAUCAACACAAAAUCCAUGGGUCUACAUCAGGUCCAAAACCAGAAGCAACACCAGAACUGAGACUGAAACUGGACCUAGGAUGCAAACGAAAAUAUAAGGCCAAAACCAUGAUCAUAGUUGGUUCCAGAAAGAAGAUAUACAUAAAUUAAGUCUACUUUAAGGCCCAUAAAACUGGUCUACAUUCCACAGCAGAAUCAAUAACAAUAUUGGUAUAUAAUUCCCAUCCAAAGAACUAUGACACAGAGUCCACACAAAAUAAGAUCCAAUUUUAAACUCCAAAUGUUAACUCUGUGGAGGUUCCAAAACCCCACCUAGGGUCCACAAGUAAAACAUGUACCAAAUCUAAUGUUUUCACUAGAAUUGAUACCAAAACCAGACCAAUAUUAAACGUACAAUGGGGACAAACACGAGAUAACCCCUGAACAUGAAUCCAGAGAAAAACUAUAGUUAAAUGACAUCUGGAGUUACUACAACAAACAUAAAUGGGAGAAAUUUCACAUACGACUUGAAAGCAGAAACAAAACUCAGACCAGCUCUCAACGCAACCUUCAAGAAACAAAGUCAGAUUUCAUAUCACUACAAGUAUACAAUGAAAUAGAUAGUUUAACAGACCUCCUUAAUACCGGACAUCUUGCAAUCAUUUAAUUUGCAUUAAUAAAGCAUUAAUAAAUAUUUUAUCUAAUC